UUGAAAAAGGGAAAUGUUCAUUUCAAUGAAUUAUUUUUGAAGAAAAGGAGAUUAACAAAGCAAAGAUUGACUUUAACUAUUGGGUGUAGAAAUAAGUUUUGAGGGAUUUUUGCCAGAUGGCGGAACUUGUAUUAUAUCGCAUCUGGCCAUACUGUAACUAUAUUCACGUCGAAGCCACGUCAAGUGACACUAGUUUUCAGUAUGUGUCAAAUUGCCAAAGUGUAAACAACAUAAUUUUUUUCGCCUUCAAUCAUGUCAACAUACGUGCCAAAAAAACAGCAUUUGCGGGAAGUUUUACUUUUCCUCUAUAAUUCGAAGAAAAAGCGGAUAUCCUUGCAUCAAGUGUGCACUAAUAAUGAAGAUUGAACCAUUCUCGAUAGAGUCAAGCAGAAAAAACCAUUCUUAGAUCGCUGCUCCUUGUCACUAUAGAGGGCGCUCAGAACCACAAAAAUUUGACCCAUGACACAAAAAAGUCGUUUUUUCGCGAAAAAUGGUUCAGUGACAUUUCAUAGAACAAA